UACGUAGGUGGCGAGCGUUAUCCGGAAUGAUUGGGCGUAAAGGGUGCGUAGGCGGACGGUCAAGUCCGGAGUGAAAGGUGUCAGCUCAACUGGCACAGGCUCUGGAAACUGACCGACUAGAGGACAGGAGAGGGCGGUGGAACUCCAUGUGUAGCGGUAAAAUGCGUAGAUAUAUGGAAGAACACCAGUGGCGAAGGCGGCCGCCUGGACUGAACCUGACGCUGAGGCACGAAAGCGUGGGGAGCAAAUAGG
rnacentral:rRNA from 1 species